rnacentral:rRNA from 1 species
GAUGAACGCUGACAGAAUGCUUAACACAUGCAAGUCAACUGUGGCGGACGGGUGAGUAACGCGUAAAGAACUUGCCUCACAGUUAGGGACAACAUUUGGAAACGAAUGCUAAUACCUGAUACUGUGAGAGAGCUUUGCGUCCCAUUAGCUAGUUGGAGAGGUAACGGCUCACCAAGGCGAUGAUGGGUAGCCGGCCUGAGAGGGUGAUCGGCCACAAGGGGACUGGGACACGGCACUUACUACGACGGGAGGAAGGAGUGGGGAAUAUUGGACAAUGGACCAGAAGCUAAUACGGAUUUCGGUGUGAACGAUGAAGUUUUCGGAAAGUAAAGGGCUUUCAGUUGGGAAGCGGUACCAACAGAAGAAGUAACGGCUAAAUACGUGCCAGCAGCCGCGGUAAUUC